rnacentral:lncRNA from 1 species
GAGAGAGAGAGAACAGAUCUAGAUCGGGUUAAUCAAGGACACGAAUUUGAAAAUCUCACUCAAAUAUGAAAUUUGAUUUGUAAGCCAGGGAGAGAAGAGAUCUAGAUCGAUAUUGAUAUUCGGAUCGAGAUUGAGAUCAAUCAAGGCGAUGAAUCUAAAGUUUUCAUUCAUACAUGAACUUUGAAUUAUAGAUCUAACACUUUGAGGGUAUUUUAAUUUGUAUCCAAUGGCUGAGAUCAAGGCUGCUAUUGAGGUUUCCAACACAUGGAUGAGGUUGUUCAAUAUGGUCUUUGGCAUCGACCUAGUGGGACAACUGAAUUUUUAAAUUUCAUUAUUUUGAGUCAAUUUGUGAGG